rnacentral:rRNA from 1 species
GAUGAACGCUAGCGACAGGCUUAACACAUGCAAGUCGAGGGGCAGCAUAAAAGUAGCAAUACUUUGGUGGCGACCGGCGCACGGGUGAGUAACGCGUAUGCAACCUACCUAUCAGAGGGGAAUAACCCGGCGAAAGUCGGACUAAUACCGCAUAAAACAGGGGCACCGCAUGGUGAUAUUUGUUAAAGAAAUUCGCUGAUAGAUGGGCAUGCGUUCCAUUAGGUAGUUGGUGAGGUAACGGCUCACCAAGCCGACGAUGGAUAGGGGAACUGAGAGGUUGGUCCCCCACACUGGUACUGAGACACGGACCAGACUCCUACGGGAGGCAGCAGUGAGGAAUAUUGGUCAAUGGGCGGGAGCCUGAACCAGCCAAGUCGCGUGAAGGAAGAAGGAUCUAUGGUUCGUAAACUUCUUUUGCAGGGGAAUAAAGUGCGGGACGUGUCCUGUUUUGUAUGUACCCUGAGAAUAAGGAUCGGCUAACUCCGUGCCAGCAGCCGCGGUAAAACGU